CCGCAAUACGUAUCAUUCUUGAUACGGUAUAACUACGUACCUGGCUAGCAUAUAUGAUCAUACAGCCAACUGAACCGAGUACCUACGUAGCAGGUAUGUAUUGCAUUAAUGGCCAGAUAUGAUUAAUGACUGUGAAUAUUAUAUGGGCUUAAAUAUAUCAUCACAACUCAAAGUAUCCCCAGAUGCCCAUUGUAGAUAGCAUAAUCGCAUUUUGUUAGUUGCCGGUGUUUCCAUCUAUGACGACUGUACUUUGCUCCGCCAAAACCGACUGCAUCUGCGUCAGACUCCAGCAUUACGAGGGAAAUUACUCAUUUAUAAUUGUUGAUUUGCUGGGGAUGUCUCGGCGCUAGCUGUUUGUACAGCGCUCACAAGUUCAAUCUCUUAACUUAACUCUUUAACUUAACUAGCGUAACUAGUCAUACAAUCAAUCAUCAACUGCCAGUUUUCCGACUGCCCUUUUCUGAUUGAUUGACGCGGUAUGCGGCUUCCAUGCGACCAGCCCUAUGUCCGGCAGUCAGUCAAUGAGCGUCUGUUAGAUCCAAGCUCUACAUAUCAGACUUGAUUUCUCUCUGCAUACAUGUUGCAUACAUAGAGGUGCAGAUGAAGCCAACAGGACAUAAUGCUGUGUGUGGGAAACGUAACAAGCCGGAAGCCGGAAGCCUAUCAAAGUCGAUUUUGUUAGAUUAAAAUACACGGAAAAUUACAAGCCCUCGGAUUGUCGCGGUUGUUGCACGUGCCGCCCGCCUGCCAGCUUUACAAGUCCCACCUUCCGUUUGAACCGAGCAUCAUCAUUUCUGGAGUUUGUACUCCGUACUGAGUACUCAACACAGAGACUCUUUCAAUGCUCCUCAGACAUGAGAUCGUGGAGUAACAUGACUGAAGAUAUCAAUGUUGAUUAGAUAUAUCUAUACGAAAAAAUCUAUCACAAUACUCUGGAAAAUUGUCAUGAUCCACGUGAAGUCGGAUCAUUCUAACCUCAUGACAGGAAUCCAGACUGUUUCCAUGCCGCUAUAGACAGGGAAAGGGACGUCCCAAGUUCACGAUUCUCAGACCUUCGUUCUGACGCAUGGGUCAUGAUAACUCGCUGGAUUUCAGAUUCGGGCCGGUUUUCUUCUGUCCACUCCACAUGGUCGUAUCUGACGGAGCGUAAGACCUUCUCCCAGUAUGUUGCAGGGGACAGUGCAUGAUUGCGACCAUCCUCAAACAGCCACCACCCUUCUAUAAAGACCGAAAGCGAACUCAAUGAGACACUCAAAUCGCGAGUUGCAUGCACGCAGUUGGUAGCCAGGAAAAUACGCUGAUUGUGUAGAAGCUUAGGAUCUGGAGUAAUAUUAAUGUUGACCACCUUGAACUGCAUCAAUGGAUAAGUUCUUGAAUCAUUUGCGAGUCGCUGAAACUAGUGAAGAGAUGUCGGUGUACACCACUGGCACUUUCAGUCGAGCCAACAAUGGAACGAUGUUUGAAAAGUACUUUGCUUGCUCAAUCCACACAAAAUCGAUGGGUGAAUUAGCAACAUUUCUGAAACGGCCUCGCGGCCUUCGGAGUUCCAAAUAUCAAGUUCAGGCUAUCCACUUUGUCAAUAGGACAGUCACAAGGUCAUAAAUCAAGUUCAUAAAUUGUUCGUGUUUGGCAAUAUAUGGCACACGUUCAAGCUUUCGGCCGGGGGUUGCAGACCGGAUCGGACAGCCACGCUCUUCAAAUUGCAUUCACAACGUGUGCAAUGACAAGUGCAGUUGACCGUGGCAUGACUUUGUCGUGAUACAUGGCGGAAUUGUUCUUAGCAACGAAACUGUCAGUUGCUUCUUUGGCCUCGGGGGGAAUGUCUAGAACAAAACAAGUGAUCCAGAUAGGAGAGAAUCUUCUGCAGAAUAAGAUAAUGGCUGUCACCAUUGACGCCAUUAAUUAUUCAUAUGAGGAAUAGUUCUAUUGACCGCAGGCAUAUCUUCCUCGGUUGGAGUAUCGACUUGGUCCAAGUCAUCGUUUGUACUUUCAUCGUCAAUGCCCAAUGGUGAUCGAAUACACGUAACCAGAUUUCGAAAGUCAGCCAAAUCCAUCAGCUAUGCACUGUCUAGUGCGCAUUUGAAUGCGGCUUGGACCUCCUGUGCCAGUUCCAUGCCCAUGAGGGAAUUGAUACUAAGCUCAACCAAGUCCGUGUCGUCUUUGAUUUCGUGCGGCUCGAGCCUGAGAGGUUGCAUAGAAUUCGGCUUGUUAUCUUCGAAAUGUCGGGUUCAUGAGCCUUGGCUGUUUUUUCUUGGAACUUUCUUCUUAGCACCCCCGUUGACUUGAGUAAGUGGAACAAACACUGGAUUAGGAGCUGCGGCGACGGCCUCAAUCUUUAUAGACAUUACUGGAUGGAAUCUGAACUUUGUAACAUUGAGAAUCUGUAGCUUUAGACUAGAGAAUAUGGAACACAUAUCGGUAUUUUCACGUGCUCUAUCGCUUUCGCAGCCCCAACAAGGGUGAAACUUCUUGGACCAUUGUAAGGAGCGAUUGAUGGUUCUAGCUUCUUUCCAGACACGAACAUGGGUAUUAAAAAGCUUUAGCUUUGUUCAACAAAGCAGUGACAUCAGCGAGGUUUCCCUCAACCGCAAUCGUAGAGUCUUUUCCGGCAC
rnacentral:lncRNA from 1 species